CAAAUGACUUCCAACAAUGGAUAUCUUGACUCUCGUAUCGAUGAAGAACGUAGCAAAAUGCAGCACAUGGUGUGAAUUGCAGAAUUCCGCGAAUCAUCGAGUUUUUGAACGCAAGUUGCGCCUAAGACCAAUUAUAGGUUAGGGCAUGCUUGCUUGGGUGUCGUGU
rnacentral:rRNA from 1 species